rnacentral:rRNA from 1 species
UAAUACAGAGGUGGCAAGCGUUGUUCGGAAUUACUGGGCGUAAAGGGCGCGUAGGCGGCCUUGUCAGUCAGACGUGAAAUCCCCAGGCUUAACCUGGGAACUGCGUCUGAUACUACAAGGCUUGAGUUCGGGAGAGGAAUGUGGAAUUCCAGGUGUAGCGGUGAAAUGCGUAGAUAUCUGGAGGAACACCGGUGGCGAAGGCGGCAUUCUGGACCGAAACUGACGCUGAGGCGCGAAAGCCAGGGGAGCAAACGGGAUUAGAUACCCCGGUAGUCCUAGCCUUAAACGAUGAAUGCUUGGUGUCUGGGGUUAUAUAGUCCCCGGGUGCCGUCGCUAACGCUUUAAGCAUUCCGCCUGGGGAGUACGGUCGCAAGACUG